rnacentral:rRNA from 1 species
UACGAAGGGUGCAAGCGUUACUCGGAAUUACUGGGCGUAAAGGGUGCGUAGGUGGUUGUUUAAGUCUGUUGUGAAAGCCCCGGGCUCAACCUGGGAAUGGCAAUGGAUACUGGACAGCUAGAGUGCGGUAGAGGGUAGUGGAAUUCCCGGUGUAGCAGUGAAAUGCGUAGAGAUCGGGAGGAACACCAGUGGCGAAGGCGGCUACCUGGACCAGCACUGACACUGAGGCACGAAGGCCAGGGGAGCAAACGGG